ensembl:processed_transcript Has2os hyaluronan synthase 2, opposite strand
GGGAGAAAGAAGGGAAGGGUAGGAAGGUAAGGACAGUUGUGGGAUGAAUUUUCCGUACACAGUGGAAAUCCUUGUUUUCUGACUCCGGAGCCCCUUUGACGCUCGGGAAGAUGCCCAGUGGAAAAGUACACCCCGGGACAAUCAGCUUUCCUUGGCCACGCAAGUUACCUGUGCGCCCAGAGAGGCAGCGGAUUUCACCGGAUGAUUAAAACCCAGGGGAAUUCAAAGUUCACCCAAACGCGUCUGUAUAACGUACCUUGUUCAGCUCCUGCUCAUAGACUCGUCCUCCGCCUGUCUGUGUGGUCCCGGAGGGUCGUGGAAGGAAGUUUCCAAAAUUGAGAGCUUAAUACAGUGCUCUAUACUGCAGCACCAUUCUGUGCAUGAGGAUGCGGGUUGAAAAAGAAGGAAGAAUGAGAGGACCAGUCGUCACAAGCUCCUGUGUCCAAGUCUUCCCAGCCAUGAUGGGGAUACCCUCGGACGGUGAACCAAGAUAAAUAAACCCCUUCUUUCCUGACGUCCUCCUAUCAGGGUGUUUCAUCACAGCAAUGUGACAAUAAAUCCCAAGCCACUCUCAAUAAAUCACUCUCAUGCCACAUCUUCUAAUGGAAGAGUCUACCCUUCUUAAGAAUAACCUCUUUUGUUAUUUCAGUUUCCCAUAUCAUUUUUCUUCCUUUGCUUUCCUGCUCAAAAUUAAUCUGUGUCAUCUCUUCUACUGCCUGUCGGCUGCUACUGUGGGGAGGAGAGGAUAAAAUUCACCCAGAUGUGAGCAUCAGAAAUGGAAAGCCAAGUGAUAGGGCUUGACUGAUGUCACCAAAUGGCCAAUGAAGAGUCAGUCUUCUGGCUCCUUCUCCUUGAUACUACCUGACACCUCCCCUGCCCUCAUUUGCUUUCUGAGCAAUAUUUUAUCCUCCAUUAUCAACUUCUACCCAUCCUCCCACUGUGGCUUUGCUGCUCAUAGAAGGAAAUGCAAGCAGAGCUGUCCAGUUCCUGUUUCAUAAGUGCUGACAACAGA